rnacentral:misc_RNA from 1 species
CACAAAACUGACUUGCAGCUCAAAUGAAAAAAUUUAAAAUAAAUAAAUGACCCAGCAAGUCUAAUCACCUGAAAUUAAAGAAAAAAGGGCUUUAAAGUCCAGAAAUUAUCAGCCAAAAGCAAAGGAUUGCAACGCCGAUUAACAAAAACUCUGGCCGGCAAAAGAGAAACAAAUAGCAUAAACGCUCCACCCAAACAAAGAUAUAAGACACUAGCAAAGCUAGAGGGAACCAACCCAUACAACCAUCACCCAAAGAACUCAACGGACUUCAUGCGAUUCUUGGUUUUCUACAGCUUUAUAGAGAGACAGAUGACCUUUGACGAGAAUUAGAGCCAAGACGGAGAACUAGACCAUACCGAGGCGUCAAUAAUAUAAUUCCCAUAAGAAGUUUGUAAAGCCCAAAAAACCAGGUCCCUUGUCUCAUCAGACAGCACCACACAACACAGACCCACCAUUCACAACACAGCCAAGCUAAAAUAGUAGAUCCAAAGAGUCCUCUCCAUUUGACACACAUCUGCAAGAAAAAAACCCAAACCAAAAACACUAUUUACACCACUCGAGAAAUGGGGAGGGUAACCCACAAUAUCGGGAGGAAGGGAGCACUCCCUACCCAGUAAAUGCAGGGAAAGCCUCACAAAGGCAAGGAAGAGCUGGCCAAGCCAGGAAGAAAACCAAGAAAAGGAGAGAUUUUUAAAAGCUUGGUUUGGUGUCGGUUGCCAUCAAGUAACAUGGACCAGGUUCACGGGGACUAACCAGCUUCUUCCCUACCUCUUCAAAUUUAGCUGUUGCCCAAGGUGCAGUGCCAACGCUUCUUGCAGAACUUGGCCCAUCUAUUGUCAGCAUGGAUGCUUCAUCCCUGGAAGCAUACCAGGAAUUACCACAGGCGGUGCACUCCAGCUGAUAGCGAUCUCCGUGUCCUGCUUGGAUGAUGUCCCUUACGCCCACUUUGAACUCAUUGCAUCUUGAGCAACAAGCAUCUGUCAUCUGCAUGCGGGCUGACUCCUCAGGCUCCUUUGUUGCUGUCUCCUCUGCUGUCAACCCCUCCUUCAAUUCAUUAGGUGACAUAUUUAGUAUUUUUGUGGGUUCCAACUCUCCAUUGAGUAAACGCCGAGCCAAUAGUGCAUUAUGCUGCCAAAAAGAGGAAUUUUAAAACAUCUUCACAUCAUCUUUCCAGCAAGCAUAUCUGCAGCUGUUCUAUUGCCUGUUCCAAACAAUCAUGAUGCACUUUGCUCUCUGCAACCACCACCACACCCCUCCCCCCCCUUCAGGUUGAAUUGCAGCUGACGCAACUUCUGGUUAUAUUUCUGAAAAUCGAAGGAAAGGGCUUCAUGUGAGGCCUUCUCGAGAGCACUUACUGCAGGAACAGCAGCAUCUGGCCAGCAAAAAGUUUUGCUACGUUUAGAUCCAUUUGCAGUGCCCUGUGACUUGUGCUCUUUUUCAUGGUCCAUGCCAUCAGAACCAUCUUUCACUUUAUCAUCACCACAUGUGCUGUCAGGAGAAGUGCACAUAUAUUGAAUACAUUGAAGAAGCCUUUCCAACCAUUUGUCACGAUGGGUAUCUCCGGUUAAUGCAUCAAACUUCUCUAAGAUUGCAUGGUACUCUGAGGCAUUGCCUGUACAACUUCCUGGUGUUUCAGCUUUUAAGUUAUCAGUCCUGAUUGUUGCUUCUUCAUCCCUUGAAACAUCAAGAGGGGUGAUAUUCUUUUUCCUGAGAGUUCUUUUAACCUUUGAGAGAUCUUCUGGUUCAGCAACGUUAUCUUCAGUUUCAAUAUCAGGAAGGUCUCCCAAACGUGAUAGAGUUUUUUGAACAAGAAGAUCAAUUUCAUGCUGCUUAUUAUCUUCAUAAUCCUUAUCAGUUAACUUCCAAAGCUUCCGCUCCACAGUGUCAUACACUUUCUGAACAAUAAAACCAGGAUGCUGUUUGCGAUUUGGAAGUUGCUUGUGAAUAGGAACAAAAUGCACCACACAUUUGUGCAUUACAGAUUCUGCUGGAACCUCAUCACGAUGGAAACUAUAAAACAGUUCCCGAGUAUCACGUGACUGCCAGCUUCCUCCACCUUUUCUUGCUGCCUCCUCAGGGCGAUAAAACCACUGUCCAGUUACCAUCAUGCUACCAUUAUUGGUCUGGGCAAUAUCCUUGAUAAUAGCCACAUACGGCUUUUGCAUUUUAUCCUCAGGAACUAAAAGUACAGGAUCCUCAAGAUCGUAUCGGUUUCCAUCGAACUCGAAAGCCUCGUAAUGGCUCCUCCGUCCUCUUCCCUUUCCCGAAAACUUAAGUGGUUCACCAACGGGCUUGGCAUCCUCCAGCGGCGCCUCUUCCUCCUCUUCGGGAUCCUCCUCUGAGUCCGGCUCCACUGCUUUCUCUCCCCUCGCUUUCUUCUUCGCUUUCCCUCCCCUCAUUUUCUCUUCGACCUCCUCUUCGUCUUCUUCCAGAAGCUUUAUUUUCUUCCUCUUCCUCUCCCUCUCGUUCCAUUCCGACUUCAUUGACGAGCGAGUUUUCGGCGGAGGAGGUGGGGCUUCGUCUUCCUCGUCGCUGGUGGAGACCUGUGCAAAUCUCCGGUUUCGCAUUUCGUGAUUUUUGUUUCCGUUGGCAAAUGACAGAAAUUUUGGCGGUGCACUCGGGUGCUGGAAGAAGUAUAAAUUGCUGAAACUACGGAAAUGUGCCUGUGAGAGAAACCAACUUACAGAUAUGCCAUCGUAACUUCCAGAAGUACCAGAGUCAGCAUUACAGCCAUGG